AGUGAACGCUGGCGGUAGGCCUAACACAUGCAAGUCGAACGGCAGCACAGUAAGAGCUUGCUCUUACGGGUGGCGAGUGGCGGACGGGUGAGGAAUACAUCGGAAUCUACUUUUUCGUGGGGGAUAACGUAGGGAAACUUACGCUAAUACCGCAUACGACCUACGGGUGAAAGCAGGGGAUCUUCGGACCUUGCGCGAUUGAAUGAGCCGAUGUCGGAUUUGCUAGUUGGCGGGGUAAAGGCCCACCAAGGCGACGAUCCGUAGCUGGUCUGAGAGGAUGAUCAGCCACACUGGGACUGAGACACGGUCCAGACUCCUACGGGAGGCAGCAGUGGGGAAUAUUGGACAAUGGGCGCAAGCCUGAUCCAGCCAUACCGCGUGGGUGAAGAAGGCCUUCGGGUUGUAAAGCCCUUUUGUUGGGAAAGAAAAGCAGCAGGUUAAUACCCCGCUGUUCUGACGGUACCCAAAGAAUAAGCACCGGCUAACUUCGUG
rnacentral:rRNA from 1 species